CCUACGGGAGGCAGCAGUGGGGAAUAUUGGACAAUGGGCGAAAGCCUGAUCCAGCCAUGCCGCGUGUGUGAAGAAGGCCUUCGGGUUGUAAAGCACUUUCAGUGGGGAAGAAAGCCUUGGGGCUAAUACCCUCGAGGAAGGACAUCACCCACAGAAGAAGCACCGGCUAACUCCGUGCCAGCAGCCGCGGUAAUACGGAGGGUGCGAGCGUUAAUCGGAAUUACUGGGCGUAAAGCGCGCGUAGGCGGUCUGAUAAGCCGGUUGUGAAAGCCCCGGGCUCAACCUGGGAACGGCAUCCGGAACUGUCAGGCUAGAGUGCAGGAGAGGAAGGUAGAAUUCCCGGUGUAGCGGUGAAAUGCGUAGAGAUCGGGAGGAAUACCAGUGGCGAAGGCGGCCUUCUGGACUGACACUGACGCUGAGGUGCGAAAGCGUGGGUAACAAACAGGAUUAGAUACCCCGGUAGUC
rnacentral:rRNA from 1 species